AGAGUUUGAUCAUGGCUCAGAUUGAACGCUGGCGGCAGGCCUAACACAUGCAAGUCGAGCGGUAGCACAGAGAGCUUGCUCUCGGGUGACGAGCGGCGGACGGGUGAGUAAUGUCUGGGAAACUGCCUGAUGGAGGGGGAUAACUACUGGAAACGGUAGCUAAUACCGCAUAACGUCGCAAGACCAAAGUGGGGGACCUUCGGGCCUCAUGCCAUCAGAUGUGCCCAGAUGGGAUUAGCUAGUAGGUGGGGUAAUGGCUCACCUAGGCGACGAUCCCUAGCUGGUCUGAGAGGAUGACCAGCCACACUGGAACUGAGACACGGUCCAGACUCCUACGGGAGGCAGCAGUGGGGAAUAUUGCACAAUGGGCGCAAGCCUGAUGCAGCCAUGCCGCGUGUGUGAAGAAGGCCUUCGGGUUGUAAAGCACUUUCAGCGGGGAGGAAGGCGUUAAGGUUAAUAACCUUGGCGAUUGACGUUACCCGCAGAAGAAGCACCGGCUAACUCCGUGCCAGCAGCCGCGGUAAUACGGAGGGUGCAAGCGUUAAUCGGAAUUACUGGGCGUAAAGCGCACGCAGGCGGUCUGUCAAGUCGGAUGUGAAAUCCCCGGGCUCAACCUGGGAACUGCAUUCGAAACUGGCAGGCUAGAGUCUUGUAGAGGGGGGUAGAAUUCCAGGUGUAGCGGUGAAAUGCGUAGAGAUCUGGAGGAAUACCGGUGGCGAAGGCGGCCCCCUGGACAAAGACUGACGCUCAGGUGCGAAAGCGUGGGGAGCAAACAGGAUUAGAUACCCUGGUAGUCCACGCCGUAAACGAUGUCGAUUUGGAGGUUGUGCCCUUGAGGCGUGGCUUCCGGAGCUAACGCGUUAAAUCGACCGCCUGGGGAGUACGGCCGCAAGGUUAAAACUCAAAGGAAUUGACGG
rnacentral:rRNA from 1 species